rnacentral:rRNA from 1 species
AUUGAACGCUGGCGGCAGGCCUAACACAUGCAAGUCGAGCGGAUGAAGGGAGCUUGCUCCUGGAUUCAGCGGCGGACGGGUGAGUAAUGCCUAGGAAUCUGCCUGGUAGUGGGGGAUAACGUCCGGAAACGGGCGCUAAUACCGCAUACGUCCUGAGGGAGAAAGUGGGGGAUCUUCGGCCCUCCCGCUAUCAGAUGAGCCUAGGUCGGAUUAGCUGGUUGGUGGGGUAAAGGCCUACCAAGGCGACGAUCCGUAACUGGUCUGAGAGGAUGAUCAGUCACACUGGAACUGAGACACGGUCCAGACUCCUACGGGAGGCAGCAGUGGGGAAUAUUGGACAAUGGGCGAAAGCCUGAUCCAGCCAUGCCGCGUGUGUGAAGAAGGUCUUCGGAUUGUAAAGCACUUUAAGUUGGGAGGAAGGGCAGUAAGUUAAUACCUUGCUGUUUUGACGUUACCAACAGAAUAAGCACCGGCUAACUUCGUG